rnacentral:rRNA from 1 species
UACGUAGGGCGCAAGCGUUGUCCGGAAUUAUUGGGCGUAAAGAGCUCGUAGGCGGCCUGUCACGUCGAUUGUGAAAGCCCGAGGCUUAACCUCGGGUCUGCAGUCGAUACGGGCUAGCUAGAGUGUGGUAGGGGAGAUCGGAAUUCCUGGUGUAGCGGUGAAAUGCGCAGAUAUCAGGAGGAACACCGGUGGCGAAGGCGGAUCUCUGGGCCAUUACUGACGCUGAGGAGCGAAAGCUAGGGGAGCAAACGGG